rnacentral:lncRNA from 1 species
UAUGAUGUAAAGCUAUGAAAAAAAAAAAGUUCGUAUAUGGACAGCAAAAGAUUAAAGAAGAAUAUCACCUACCAGGAGAAAAUGUAUGCCCCUGGUAUUUGCAGACACAUGGGGUUCUUGAGCUGGUUACGUUCACAUUGGUUGUUGUAUUGACUAUGAUGUGAUGUGUUGAUGCCUUUGUUGGUUUUGGUGUUGUAUUAGUUUUUAUUUCAGGGCUUUGUGUGGUGGAAGUUGUUGUGGGAGGCGUUCCUGUAGUUGUUGUUGUUGUAGGUGAAACGGUGGAGGUUGUUGUAGGUGAAACGGUGGUUGUUGUUGUAGGUGAAACUGUGGUAGUUGUUGUAGAAGGUGUACCUGUGGUUGUUGUGGGGGGUGUUCCUGUGGUUGUGGUUGUUGUAGGUGAAACUGUGGUUGUUGUUGGUGGAGGUGAUCCUGUGGUGGUUGUUGUAGUAGGUGAUCCUGUGGUCGUUGUUGUAGUAGGUGAAAUGGUGGUUGUUGUAGUGGGAGGUGUUCCUGUGGUUGUUGUAGUCGAAGGUAUUCCUGUCGUUGUUGUAGGUGAAACGGUGGUGGUUGUGGUAGGUGAAACGGUGGUAGUUGGUGUAGGUGAUCCUGUGGUGGUUGUUGUAGGUGAAACUGUGGUUGUUGUUGUAGAAGGUGUACCUGUGGUUGUUGUGGGAGGUGUUCUUGUGGUUGUUGUAGUCGAAGGUAUUCCUGUCGUUGUUGUAGGUGAAACGGUGGUAGUUGGUGUAGGUGAUCCUGUGGUUGUUGCUGUGGGAGGCGUUUCUGUGGUUGUUGUUGUAGGGGAACCUGUGGUUGUUGUGGUAGGUGAAACGGUGGUUGAUGUUGUAGGUGAAACGGUGGUAGUUGGUGUAGGUGAUCCUGUGGUCGUUGUUGUGGGUGGUGUUCCUGUGCUUGUUGUUGUAGGUGAACCUGUGGUUGUUGUUGUUGGAGGUGAUCCUGUGGUGGCUGUUGUAGUAGGUGAAAUGGUGGUGGUUGUUGUAGGUGAUCCUGUGGUUGUUGUUGUUGUAGGUGAAACUGUGGUUGUUGUUGUGGAAGGAGUCCCGGUGGUUGUUGUUGUUGUAGGUGAAACUGUGGUAGUUAUUGUGGGAGGUGAUUCUGUGGUUGUUAUUGUUGUAGGCGAAACUGUUGAAAAUGUUGUUGUUUUAAACCCUUUCGAAGAUCCUGGUGUUGAGAAGGUAAAAAUUGUUGUAACAGACUCUGUUGUAUUAGUAGGAGCCAUUUGAGAUGUU